AUGUGGUGCUGAAAAUCAAACCCAGUGCCUCACACAUGCUAGGCAAGUGCUCUACCACUGAGCUACAGCUCCAGCCCCCUUCCCUUCGUAUUUCUAUAGAGGGCCAUGUAAAGCUUUAGAUUCUGUUUAGACUCCAGGUUUUAAGAGUUCAACACAGAAAGAAUUUCAGGUCAUUUGUUUCCCUCCAGAAUGAAAUUCUAAUCUUGAGGGAGGUGGGAAGGACAGGCGAAUGCAUUAUUGCAAACCUUCUCCAGUGAUUCUGAGGUAUAGCUCUGGUUAAGAGCCCCUGCCCAACACCCUGAGAUAUUUGAGUGUAAGGACCAUGCCCUUCAACUUUGUAUUUAUUAAAUACAACCAAUGCCUGAUAUACAGUCAGUGCUCAGUAAAGGGUCAAGUGAACCAGUGGAAACAAGAGCUGAAGAAUGAUAGGGUCCAAAGAAAUGGAUGGAGGAUAGCUUAGGAAUAAGUAUGGUCCCUUCAUUUUUUUCAGUUGCCUUAGUGUUGAAAUGGAAGGAGGCUCCCAGAUAUUCAUGGGAUGUCACUUUUGGCAACAAUGGACCAUCAGUUAUCUGGGUUUUCUAGGUGUUUUGUAGCAAGGAGGGAUUUCAGACUAUGUAGUCUGCAAUAUUUCCAGAAAUAGAAAUCAUUCUUUUUUCCUCUAAUGACCCACACAACACCUGGGAAUUGCCAUAAAAUUCCCAGAAGAGGAGUAUGGUGAAGGAAAACCACUUUCCCUAGGUAUACUUUGUAUGGAACUGCCAGUGAAGCAGUAUAGAUAUGGGCAGAAGACACCACUCUCCUGGUGUCUCCUGAGAUCUGUGCUCUGACUGGUUUCCAUCUGUCGUCUUCUGCCAGUUUUGUUGGGACUCACCUUCCAUUUUCUCUCCACACAGGCUUGUUGAAAAUGUAGGAGCCAAUGUUUCCAACCGUCCCUGCUCCAAACUCUGAUGCAUACGCACCUGUGUACAGAAAGGAAGGUUGGAUUCCAUUAAUCAAGCUAAGACUUUAUACUGCAUUACUGCCUGGCACAAAAAAAGAUAGUGCACUCUGUAGUUUGCAAACUCGACUCAGGAAAUCGGGGAAGAGUAAAAUCCACAUGGGAAAGAUUUCCAUUGACUUCUCAUCCAAGAUGGUACAGUUAAUUCAUGCUAUGAAACACUUGGCAGUGAUAUACUGA
rnacentral:lncRNA from 1 species